rnacentral:rRNA from 1 species
UACAGAGGUGGCAAGCGUUGUUCGGAAUUACUGGGCGUAAAGGGCGCGUAGGCGGUUCGUUAAGUCCUGUGUGAAAUCCCCCGGCUCAACUGGGGAACUGCACAGGAAACUAGCGGGCUUGAGUUCGGGAGAGGGAAGCGGAAUUCCGGGUGUAGCGGUGAAAUGCGCAGAUAUCAGGAGGAACACCGGUGGCGAAGGCGGAUCUCUGGGCCUUGCCUGACGCUGAGGCGCGAAAGCUAGGGGAGCGAACAGG